rnacentral:rRNA from 1 species
AACGCGAAGAACCUUACCUACCCUUGACAUCUAGCCAAUUUUGCAGAGAUGUGGAAGUGCCUUCGGGCAAGCUAAGACAGGUGCUGCAUGGCUGUCGUCAGCUCGUGUCGUGAGAUGUUGGGUUAAGUCCCGUAACGAGCGCAACCCCUGUACCUAGUUGCCAGCACGUAAAGGUGGGAACUCUAGGUAGACUGCUGGUGAUAAACCGGAGGAAGGUGGGGAUGACGUCAAGUCCUCAUGGCCUUUAUGGGUAGGGCUACACACGUGCUACAAUGGGCAGUACAGAGGGAAACGAAGCUGUGAAGUGGAGUGAAUCUCAUAAAAACUGUUCGUAGUCCGGAUAGGAGUCUGCAACUCGACUCCUUGAAGUCGGAAUCGCUAGUAAUCGCGGAUCAGCAUUGCCGCGGUGAAUACGUUCCCGGGCCUUGUACACACCGAGUAUA